GCAGUAAGGAAUAUUGGUCAAUGGAGGCAACUCUGAACCAGCCAUGCCGCGUGCAGGAAGACGGCCCUAUGGGUUGUAAACUGCUUUUAUCUGGGAAUAAACCUUUUUACGUGUAAGAAGCUGAAUGUACCAGAAGAAUAAGGAUCGGCUAACUCCGUGCCAGCAGCCGCGGUAAUACGGAGGAUCCAAGCGUUAUCCGGAUUUAUUGGGUUUAAAGGGUGCGUAGGCGGCCUGUUAAGUCAGAGGUGAAAGACGGUAGCUCAACUAUCGCAGUGCCUUUGAUACUGACGGGCUUGAAUAAACUAGAGGUAGGCGGAAUGAGACAAGUAGCGGUGAAAUGCAUAGAUAUGUCUCAGAACACCGAUUGCGAAGGCAGCUUACUAUGGUUUUAUUGACGCUGAGGCACGAAAGCGUGGGGAUCAAACAGGAUUAGA
rnacentral:rRNA from 1 species